GAUCAGGAUUCUGUUCGGUUAUUGGCAGUAGAGGGUUGGGCCAGAUCAGGAUUCUGUUUUCAGAUCAAGAUUGCGUGACCCUUUAUUGUGUAUUCUUCCUGUCAUUGUUAAUUUUUCACAGGUAUAUCAUAUUUUUUAAUGGUAUUCCAGACUAUAGCCAGACUAAGGUAAGGUAAUCAUUUUUUUUGUGUGGCUUGGCUCUUAUUUUGACUCUUCUUUUAUAUGCACGAUGGGCAGUAGAGUACAAAUUGUUGAUAUGUGAAUAUGUACACUUAUGACUUGCAAGUAAAUCAAAGACUAUUCUAUUCUCCCCUCCUAACUUUUGCAUAAAUUAAAAAAAAAAACAUGAGUAAUAAAUGUGGCUUUGAUUUUGAUGUCUUUGAUAUAGUUUUAAUAUUUGAAUUUUUGGGAACAGAGUUCUAUUAAUAUUAACUGGAACUUAUUUAUGUAGAGAAAUGCCUAUUGAUAAAUCUUGGAUGCAAUCUGGAAGGUCGUCAGAAGAUUAUUUUGCAGGAGUUGAAAGUUUUCUCAAUUAUGCAUACAACCAUGUUAAGCCGGAUGAUUCUAAGAUCUUUUGUCCUUGCUCUAAAUGCAGUAAUAGAUAUAGACAUCUGAGGUAUGAGGUACACAAGCAUCUUCUUUAUAACGGAAUUAAACUAACUUAUACUACAUGGUAUUUGCACGGUGAGGGUGAGGAUGAUGAUAGUGAUGAAAGUGAUGAAAGUGACAGUGACAAUGAUGGAAAUGAUGUGGCCAGUACGGAGCAAGACGAUGAUAUGCAUGGUUUAAUAGAAGAAGGUUGUCCACAAGAUCCAAAUGGAGAUGCGCACAAGUUUUACAAAUUGUUAGAAGAGGCAGAACAACCAUUGUACGCAGGUUGUGAGUCGUAUUCUAAUUUGUCUUUUGUUGUGAACCUGAUGCAUAUAAAGGGUAUCGGUACUAUGAGCAAUAAAGCAUUUGGUAUGUUGCUAACA
rnacentral:lncRNA from 1 species